rnacentral:rRNA from 1 species
UACGUAGGGGGCGAGCGUUGUCCGGAUUUAUUGGGCGUAAAGCGUCCGCAGGCGGUGUGGCAAGUUCGAGGUGACAGUGCGCGGCUUCACUGCGCAAGGUCCUCGAAAACUGGCACACUUGAGGGCUUCAGAGGGACCUGGAAUUCCGGGUGGAGUGGUGAAAUGCGUAGAUAUCAGGAGGAACACCAAUGGCGAAGGCAGCUCGCUGGGACGUGACUGACGCUGAGACGCGAAAGCGGUGGGGAGCAAACAGG